rnacentral:tRNA from 2 species
GCUGGAGUGGCGGAAUGGCAUACGCAACAGACUUAAAAUCUGUGGGAGCGCAAGCUCCGUGUGGGUUCGAGUCCCAUCUCCAGCA